CAAGUCGAGCGGUAAGGCCCUUCGGGGUACACGAGCGGCGAACGGGUGAGUAACACGUGGGUAAUCUGCCCCGUACUCUGGGAUAAGCCUUGGAAACGAGGUCUAAUACCGGAUAUGACUCCGCAUCGCAUGAUGUGGGGUGGAAAGUUCCGGCGGUACGGGAUGAACCCGCGGCCUAUCAGCUUGUUGGUGGGGUAGUGGCCUACCAAGGCGACGACGGGUAGCCGGCCUGAGAGGGUGACCGGCCACACUGGGACUGAGACACGGCCCAGACUCCUACGGGAGGCAGCAGUGGGGAAUAUUGCACAAUGGGCGAAAGCCUGAUGCAGCGACGCCGCGUGAGGGAUGACGGCCUUCGGGUUGUAAACCUCUUUCAGCAGGGACGAAGCGCAAGUGACGGUACCUGCAGAAGAAGCACCGGCUAACUACGUGCCAGCAGCCGCGGUAAUACGUAGGGUGCGAGCGUUGUCCGGAAUUAUUGGGCGUAAAGAGCUCGUAGGCGGUUUGUCGCGUCGGCCGUGAAAACCUGGGGCUUAACCCUGGGCCUGCGGUCGAUACGGGCAGACUUGAGUUCGGUAGGGGAGACUGGAAUUCCUGGUGUAGCGGUGAAAUGCGCAGAUAUCAGGAGGAACACCGGUGGCGAAGGCGGGUCUCUGGGCCGAUACUGACGCUGAG
rnacentral:rRNA from 1 species